GACCGGGGAGCCUCCAAUCACUAAGGAGUUCCAUUGUUAUUGGGGUAAGGGAAAGUAGAGAGCCACUAGUGAGACGCCACGUCUUGAACUAAAACCUUAAGGUAUUAGUUCCAUGGGUCUUUUCUACUUAUAAACUUUGUCGCUCCUACCCGUAUAUCCAAUGUGGGACUUCACACUUGAAUAAACACAACAGCCUAACCCAUUUUGUUCUACCAUAUCCAAAGACCUUUUUAAA
rnacentral:lncRNA from 1 species